rnacentral:pre_miRNA from 1 species
AGGAGGAACAGCCCCAGUGGCGGGGCAGCUCUGGAAACCUGGAUUCAGCUCCGGCAGGAACUCCGGAGGUCUCCGUCUGCAGGGCCUGGAGGCUCCGGGGCGGG